AGAUAUAGCUAAACUACCCUAAAGGCAUCAGAUCUCAUCUGAUCUUAGAAGCCAAUCAUGGUCUGCCCUGGUUGAUUGGUAUUUAGAUGGACCACCAACAAAUAUAUACUAGACUAUAUUUG
rnacentral:rRNA from 11 species